rnacentral:rRNA from 1 species
AAGUCGUAACAAGGUUUCCGUAGGUGAACCUGCGGAAGGAUCAUUACCUAGAGUUGUAGGCUUUGCCUGCUAUCUCUUACCCAUGUCUUUUGAGUACCUUCGUUUCCUCGGCGGGUCCGCCCGCCGAUUGGACAAUUUAAACCAUUUGCAGUUGCAAUCAGCGUCUGAAAAAACUUAAUAGUUACAACUUUCAACAACGGAUCUCUUGGUUCUGGCAUCGAUGAAGAACGCAGCGAAAUGCGAUAAGUAGUGUGAAUUGCAGAAUUCAGUGAAUCAUCGAAUCUUUGAACGCACAUUGCGCCCCUUGGUAUUCCAUGGGGCAUGCCUGUUCGAGCGUCAUUUGUACCUUCAAGCUCUGCUUGGUGUUGGGUGUUUGUCUCGCCUCUGCGCGUAGACUCGCCUCAAAACAAUUGGCAGCCGGCGUAUUGAUUUCGGAGCGCAGUACAUCUCGCGCUUUGCACUCAUAACGACGACGUCCAAAAGUACAUUUUUACACUCUUGACCUCGGAUCAGGUAGGGAUACCCGCUGAACUUAAGCAUAUCAAUAA